rnacentral:rRNA from 1 species
UACGUAGGGGGCUAGCGUUGUCCGGAUUUAUUGGGCGUAAAGAGCUUGUAGGCGGCUUGGCAAGUCUGCUGUGAAAACUCGAGGCUCAACCUCGAGCUGUCGGUGGAAACCGCUUGGCUAGAGUCCGGAAGAGGAGAGUGGAAUUCCUGGUGUAGCGGUGAAAUGCGCAGAUAUCAGGAAGAACACCUAUGGCGAAGGCAGCUCUCUGGGACGGUACUGACGCUGAGAAGCGAAAGCGUGGGGAGCAAACAGG